rnacentral:misc_RNA from 1 species
GAUGAAGAACGUAGCGAAAUGCGAUACGUAAUGUGAAUUGCAGAAUUCAGUGAAUCAUCGAAUCUUUGAACGCACAUUGCACUCUCUGGUAUUCCGGAGAGUAUGCUUGUUUGAGUAUCAGUAAACACCUCAAAUCUCUUGUUUCUUGUGAAUAAGAGAAUUGGACUUGAGCAAUCCCAACUCUUGCAAAAGAGGCGGGUUGCUUGAAAUGCAGGUGCAGCUGGACAUUCUUCUGAGCUAAAAGCAUAUUUAUUUAGUCCCGUAAAACGGAUUAUUACUUUUGCUGCAGCUAACAUAAAGGUUGAAUGGCCAAUAUGGCUGACUGAUGCAGGAUUAACAGAGUAUUUAUUCUUUGUAAACUCGAUCUCAAAUCAAGUAAGACUACCCGCUGAACUUAAGCAUAUCAAUAAGCGGAGGA